rnacentral:rRNA from 1 species
AUUGAACGCUGGCGGCAGGCCUAACACAUGCAAGUCGAGCGGAUGAAGGGAGCUUGCUCCUGGAUUCAGCGGCGGACGGGUGAGUAAUGCCUAGGAAUCUGCCUGGUAGUGGGGGAUAACGUCCGGAAACGGGCGCUAAUACCGCAUACGUCCUGAGGGAGAAAGUGGGGGAUCUUCGGACCUCACGCUAUCAGAUGAGCCUAGGUCGGAUUAGCUAGUUGGUGGGGUAAAGGCCUACCAAGGCGACGAUCCGUAACUGGUCUGAGAGGAUGAUCAGUCACACUGGAACUGAGACACGGUCCAGACUCCUACGGGAGGCAGCAGUGGGGAAUAUUGGACGAUGGGGGAAAGCCUGAUCCAGCCAUGCCGCGUGUGUGAAGAAGGUCUUCGGAUUGUAAAGCACUUUAAGUUGGGAGGAAGGGCAGUAAGUUAAUACCUUGCUGUUUUGACGUUACCAACAGAAUAAGCACCGGCUAACUUCGUG